rnacentral:rRNA from 1 species
UAGCGGCGGACGGGUGAGUAACACGUGGGCAACCUGCCUGUAAGACUGGGAUAACUUCGGGAAACCGGAGCUAAUACCGGAUAAUCCUUUUCUACUCAUGUAGAAAAGCUGAAAGACGGUUUACGCUGUCACUUACAGAUGGGCCCGCGGCGCAUUAGCUAGUUGGUGAGGUAACGGCUCACCAAGGCGACGAUGCGUAGCCGACCUGAGAGGGUGAUCGGCCACACUGGGACUGAGACACGGCCCAGACUCCUACGGGAGGCAGCAGUAGGGAAUCUUCCGCAAUGGACGAAAGUCUGACGGAGCAACGCCGCGUGAGUGAUGAAGGUUUUCGGAUCGUAAAACUCUGUUGUUAGGGAAGAACAAGUACGAGAGUAACUGCUCGUACCUUGACGGUACCUAACCAGAAAGCCACGGCUAACUACGUGCCAGCAGCCGCGGUAAUACGUAGGUGGCAAGCGUUGUCCGGAAUUAUUGGGCGUAAAGCGCGCGCAGGCGGUCCUUUAAGUCUGAUGUGAAAGCCCACGGCUCAACCGUGGAGGGUCAUUGGAAACUGGGGGACUUGAGUGCAGAAGAGAAGAGUGGAAUUCCACGUGUAGCGGUGAAAUGCGUAGAGAUGUGGAGG